rnacentral:rRNA from 1 species
UACGUAGGGGCCUAGCGUUGUCCGGAUUUAUUGGGCGUAAAGAGCUCGUAGGCGGUUUGGUAAGUCGGGUGUGAAAUCUCCACGCUCAACGUGGAGGGGCCACCCGAUACUGCCAUGACUCGAGUCCGGUAGGGGAGUGUGGAAUUCCCGGUGUAGCGGUGAAAUGCGCAGAUAUCGGGAGGAACACCAGUAGCGAAGGCGGUUCUCUGGGCCUUACCUGACGCUGAGGAGGCGAAAGCAUGGG